AUGGCCGCAGAUCCUACGGCGCCCGUCUUUGGCGACCACGACGAGCGGCCGAGCGGCCAGUGCAAGGGGGCGUUGUCGCAUCAGGCGAACAAGAGCACCGACGGCAAAGGAAAGGAAGUAGCCAACGCUCAAGACCACGGCAGCGACGGCGCUAACCAGCGGAGGCGUCGCAGACAUCUCAUCGUGGCCACCAAUAAGGUGCCCCAUGACGACGAUGGUGACGGCGAUUUCGACAGCCCUCUUCCCGCCACCGCCGGCGGCGUUAGCUGCUCACCGCCGCAGCAGCAUCCGCACCGGGCGCUGGAGAUCGAGAUCGGCGUGAGGAUGCUGGAGCUGAGCGGCAGCGCGUGA
rnacentral:rRNA from 1 species